rnacentral:rRNA from 1 species
UGCAGCCUGCAACUCGGCUGCACGAAGCCGGAAUCGCUAGUAAUCGCAGAUCAGCAUGCUGCGGUGAACACGUUCCCGGGUCUUGUACACACCGCCCGUCACACCAUGGGAGCCGGGAAUGCCCGAAGCCAGUGACCCAACCUUAGGGAGGGAGCUGUCGAAGGUGGAGCCGGUAACUGGGGUGAAGUCGUAACAAGGUAAC